rnacentral:rRNA from 1 species
GAUUUCUGACGAACCGGAGUGGCCCGUUUCCUUUCUGGGAAUGAGUGCCGCUUUGAGUUUGUCAUCCUUCCAGAGAGCUGCGUCUACCGUUCAUUCGGCCGGACGUAUGCGAUCUGGAUCUAUUACUUUGAAAAAAUUAGAGUGUUUAAAGCAGGCUUAUGCUAUGAAUACAUUAGCAUGGAAUAAUAAUUUAGGACUUCGGUUCUAUUUUGUUGGUUUCUAGGACUGAAGUAAUGAUUGAUAGGGAUAGUUGGGGGUGCUAGUAUUCAGCGGCCAGAGGUGAAAUUCUCGGAUUCGCUGAAGACUAACUUAUGCGAAAGCAUU